AGAGUUUGAUCAUGGCUCAGAUUGAACGCUGGCGGCAGGCCUAACACAUGCAAGUCGAGCGGAAACGAGUUAUCUGAACCUUCGGGGAACGAUAACGGCGUCGAGCGGCGGACGGGUGAGUAAUGCCUAGGAAAUUGCCCUGAUGUGGGGGGAUAACCAUUGGAAACGAUGGCUAAUACCGCAUAAUGCCUUCGGGCCAAAGAGGGGGACCUUCGGGCCUCUCGCGUCAGGAUAUGCCUAGGUGGGAUUAGCUAGUUGGUGAGGUAAAGGCUCACCAAGGCGACGAUCCCUAGCUGGUCUGAGAGGAUGAUCAGCCACACUGAACUGAGACACGGUCCAGACUCCUACGGGAGGCAGCAGUGGGGAAUAUUGCACAAUGGGCGCAAGCCUGAUGCAGCCAUGCCGCGUGUGUGAAGAAGGCCUUCGGGUUGUAAAGCACUUUCAGUCGUGAGGAAGGCAGUACAGUUAAUAGCUGUAUUGUUUGACGUUAGCGACAGAAGAAGCACCGGCUAACUCCGUGCCAGCAGCCGCGGUAAUACGGAGGGUGCGAGCGUUAAUCGGAAUUACUGGGCGUAAAGCGCAUGCAGGUGGUUUGUUAAGUCAGAUGUGAAAGCCCGGGGCUCAACCUCGGAAUAGCAUUUGAAACUGGC
rnacentral:rRNA from 1 species